AAGCAUGAUAAUUCUUCAAUUGAAGAACAACACUAUGGGAUUUCUCCUCUGCUACAAAAUCAAAAUCACUUAUGGUGGUGUUGUCAGGGGCAUGCACCUUGGUUCCUUUCUAAGAUUUAACUUACUAUGCAUAAAGUUAGUGUAAUAACAAGCAAGGAAUGAGCCUUUAGCGGA